UAUGGCCACAUCACAUUGAAACACCCAUUUCCAUACAAUCACCAAAGUUAAGCAAUGUCAAGCCUGGUCAGUACUUAGAUGGAUGACUGCUUGGUAAUAAUAGGUGCUGUAGG